AGAGUUUGAUCAUGGCUCAGGACGAACGCUGGCGGCGUGCUUAACACAUGCAAGUCGAACGGAAAGGCCCUGCUUUUGUGGGGUGCUCGAGUGGCGAACGGGUGAGUAACACGUGAGUAACCUGCCCUUGACUUUGGGAUAACUUCAGGAAACUGGGGCUAAUACCGGAUAGGAGCUCCUGCUGCAUGGUGGGGGUUGGAAAGUUUCGGCGGUUGGGGAUGGACUCGCGGCUUAUCAGCUUGUUGGUGGGGUAGUGGCUUACCAAGGCUUUGACGGGUAGCCGGCCUGAGAGGGUGACCGGCCACAUUGGGACUGAGAUACGGCCCAGACUCCUACGGGAGGCAGCAGUGGGGAAUAUUGCACAAUGGGCGGAAGCCUGAUGCAGCAACGCCGCGUGCGGGAUGACGGCCUUCGGGUUGUAAACCGCUUUCGCCUGUGACGAAGCGUGAGUGACGUAAUGG
rnacentral:rRNA from 1 species